GGGGGAAGUUGCUUGCUUGGCCCCAGAGGAGGUUGACCAGAGACUGACUAUGCAAGAGGAGUUGGAAAGUGAAGGGGAGGAGACUGGAUAACCGAUUGUGGGCAGUUUGUGUGCAGUUAGGCCCCGCUCCCCCAGUUUUCCUUUAAGAUACAGGGUUUUGCCAGGCUGGUCUUGAACUCCUGACCUCAGGUGAUUUGCCUGCCUCGGUCUCCGAAAGUGCUGGGAUUACAGGCUUUCCACAUACAGCAUUGGAUCUAGACAGAGUUUCACUGGUUGCCCAGGCUGGAGCACAAUCGUGUGACCUCAGCUCACUGCAACCUCCAUCUCUGGGGUUCAAGCAAUUCUCCUGCCUCAGCCUCCCAAGUAGCUGGGAUUACAGCAUGCACCACUAUGCCUGGCUAAUUUUGUAUAGUAGAGAUGGGGUUUCAACAUGUUGGACAGGCUGGUGUCACUCUCCUGACCUCAGAUGAUCCACCCACCUCAGCCUCCCAAAGUGCUGGGAUUAUAGGCGUGAGCCACCGUGCCCAGCCGAGAUUUAAUACUUCUAAAACCAAGCCUGGUUCAGUCUAGACAGGGUACUGGUUCUCAAUCUUGGGUAUACCUUGACAUCUCCUGGGAGCUUCACAAUUCUGAUGUCUGAGUCCUAUUCUGCAGUCUGACUUAAUUGGUCUAGGGUAUGGACCGGAAACAUUUUCAAAAGCUCCAGGUUAGAACAACUCCUCUCUAGGUCUGGUACAUUCCAUAACUAGUCAUGGAAGACACUAAGGGUAGUCCUUUUUGAUACCAAGUGGAGCUUGUAUUAUACCCAACUUACAGGUAGAAACAUUUAUGGCUGAGUAUUUGCAGAUACAGAUAUAUAAACACAAACCUUAAUCUAAAAACCCUGUUUAGUCCACUUCCCCCCAAAUUAUUGUUCUAAACGAACACCCAUUUUUCCAAAACGCUGGGUGUCACCUAAAUAAACUCUUACACAGUUUAGAAAGAAAUACUAACAACCUCCUACCUUAAGGCCAAGUCCCUUAUUAACAGCGCUUUAUGCCUGUUCAGUUGGCAAAAAUUUACCACAUUCUUCCAUUCUCAAACUAGAGCUUGGAACAUAAAUUACACGAUCAUCCUGUUAAAACAUUUUCAUAGCAGAAUACCUGUAGGUACCAUCAACUUAAUCAUCUUCCACUAUGACAGUAAACCUACAUGGCAAUUACUGUUGUUUUAUAAAUAUUCAGUUUACUCCAAACCUGUUAACUGCUAAAAUGUACAUACAUAAACAAACACAUCAUUCCUCAAAAUUCAUGUGUGUGUCCAGGAUCUAACUAUACAGUCUAUCUUAACUUCAAUGCCUUUUUUUGGGGCGGGGGUGGGAACGGAAUCUUGCUCUGUUGCCCAGGCUGGAUGGAGUACAAUUGUGCAAUCUCGACUCGCUGCAAACUACACCUCCCAGGUUCAAGCGAUUCUCUCAGUAGCUGAGAUUACAGGCGGUGCGCCACCACGCCCAGCUAAUUUUUGUAUUUUUAGAAAAGAGGAGGUUUCACCACGUUGGUCAGCCUGGUCUUGAACUCCUGACCUCAUGAUCUGCCUGCCUUGGCCUCCGAAAGUGUUGGGAUUACAGGCGCCAGCUACCGCGCCCAGCCAUUUGAAUGCCUUUCUCACUCCAGGAGAAGCUACCAUGUAUAGCCACUCAUUGAGCAGUAUCUACUAUUAUUUUUGGGACUCAAAACCCAAAUAAUACUUUUUGAGGCCAAAAUUGUAAAUACAGCAAUUGGAAGACGCUGAAAGUCUGCAAACUCACAAAAAAGCAAGGAUUGCUUUAAAAAAAAAAAAUGCCCAGAGUUUCCAUUUCAGAAAAGUGAUGGUCAGCAUAUGUCAAAAACACUGUAGAGGCCUGGGUGGGCAGAUCACUUGAGAUCAGGAGUUUGAGUCGUUUGGCAAACAUGGUGAAACCCUGUCUCCACCAAAAAUACAAAAACUAGCCAGGCAUGACGGCAGGUGCCUGUAAUCCCAGCUACUUAGGAGGCUGAGGCAGGAGAAUCGCUUGAACCCUCGAAGUGAACAGGGAGACAAGCACUGCAAACAAAUACUUUUUAAUGGGUUUAGUUUUUUUUUUUAUUUUUUACAAAUAUACUGGAGAAUCAUGCAAUGCUGCCAGCAUUGGAUGCAAUCCGGGGCCACAAGUCUGCACACUCCUUUGCUACUGGUCCUGUAAUGGCAGAACCUGCAUUAAAAAAAAAAAUAAAAUAAAAA